rnacentral:sRNA from 1 species
UUAAAGAUUUUAAAAGGGUAUAAAAUUGUUUUAAAAAUAUUUUAAAAUAUUUACAAGGGGUUUUAAAAGGGUUUUAAAAGAUUUACAAUGAACUUUAAAAGGGAUUUCAAAUAUUUACAAGGGAUUUUAAAGAGUUUUAAAAGAUUUACAAAAGUUUUUAAAUUUUUUUUAAAGGGUUUAAAAGUGUUUUAAAAGAUUUACAAAUGAUUUUAAAAGAGUUUUAAAAGAUUUACAAGAGAUUUUUAAAGGGUUUAAAAGGAUUUUAAAAGGGUUUAAAAGGGUUUUAAAAGAUUUUUAAAGAAUUUACAAGAAGACCCUUUAAAAACUCUCGUAAAUCUUUUUAAAACCUUUUAAAAUCCCUUGUAAAUCUUUUAAACCCUUUUAAAAUUUCUUGUAAAUAUUUUAAAAACCCUUUUAAAAUUCCAUGUAAAUCUUUUAAAACCCUUUUAAAAUCUCUUAUAAAUCUUUUUAAAUCCUUUUAAAAUUCCUUGUAAAUAUUUUAGUACCCUUUUAAAAUCCAUUGUAAAUCUUUUAAAACCCUUUUAAAAUCUCUUGUUAAUCUAUUUCCCGCAAAAACAAAUUUGCAAGGAAUUUUAAAAGCAUUUUUUGGCGGAAAAAAAUAUUUGUUACGAAAAACAAUUUGGCGAGAUUUUUUUUUUUGGCCGGAAAUAGUUUGACGGAAAUUUUUUUUUUUGGCGAGAAAAAUAAAUUUGGUGGGAAAAUUUUAGUUUCCAAUUACAUGUUCAUAUUAAAUAAGGAUAAUUUGGUCAUUUUGUUCAAGAGAAUGUAUUUUUAAAAAUGGACAACAUAAAGAGGUAUUGUUUAAAAGUGGUAGUAAAAAAAGGAUAGUUUUGUAAAUCUCCCAAUUAUUAAUAUAAAAGAUAUAAUGUUUCGAAACAAAGUUUAUACAACAAUGAUUUCACAUUAAGCAAUUUAACACACAUUAAAAUUAACAUUUCAAUAAUAAUUAUAUACAUGAACACACAAGUUUUUUUCUGUUUUUUUUUCUAAUUUAUAUAUAAUUUCGUAGUAACAUGUGAAGUUAUUGCUUUUCUAUAUUUGUUCAGACAUAUUUUUUUUUAAAAUAUAUGUUUUCUAUUUUUUUAUGAAGUUUUAUCAUUAUGGGAAAUUAUUGUUAAUAUUGAGGCCUAUAAUAU